ensembl:lncRNA
CCGGAUCGUAAAGACUCACACUCUGUUACUCUCUUUUGGACUCUCACCCGACCCUGCUUCCUUCUUGGCGUGAAUCAUGAAAGCGAGUCCUGUGUAGUCGAUGGGCCUUUUUCCUCGGCAGUGCCUUGUUGCAGAGAGACAGAGAGAAAGAGGGAGAGAGAUGAGGUAUUGAUUUGAGAGCCUCUGGGAGAACAAUAGGUCCCUUACUGAAGCCACUCUGAAGCACAAACACCUUCCCUGCAGCCUCUCGGUGCCAGAGCGAGACUGGAGAGGAGGAGAAAGGAGUUAAAAAACAGCUUUGCUUUCUAUUGCUCCAUCGCUCUCCACUUGCAGCAGAUUGCUGAUUGCCCAGAGGGGAGGAAUGAUGAAGGGGGGAGGAGGAGGAGGCCAGACCUUGGCACUUCCCAGUUCCCUGCAGAAAGACUAGCUGCCUGGGCCGGGACCCCGAACCCUCUGAACCCGGCCUGCACACAGCGGCUCUGGGCCAAUCGUGCACACACACAGGGCCUGGAACUGUGACACCCCAGAGGUCGCCGGUUCAGAUCCAAUACUUUUUGACGCCUGAAGGCGCGCUGAACUUUCCUGGCAUGUAAACCCAAUCCAACCCAACCCAGCCCCCCCCCCCACCCUCCCAGCACCAUCCACCCACAGACAUCUUGAAUUCGGUCCUGGGUCGAUUGUCUGCUCGGUGCGUUGGAUAAAAGCUUUCAGAUUUGACUGAUUUAUGACCGCCGUGGAGGAAAAAAAAUGGGCCGAGGCAUGAUGUCAUCGCGAAGAGUGCAUGUGGGGUCGGUGACAUCAUCAGCAGGAGACAGCAAAAGCACCACCUCUGUCUGGUUUGGUUUAUGAGUCUGUUGUACCGGGAAGUCACAGAGGAAAGAAACACAACAUAAUUAGUUACUGUCAUAAUCCACUAUUAGGAGCACUGCAGUGAAAUACAGCAUGAGAGCUCAAUGAUAUGACAGCAAUGAAUCUGUUGUCCUUAAGAUUACCACAACUUUAAUACAAGUUCUCCAUAUAAUAAAACAUAUUUUUGCAGCUAAAA